UGCUAACCUUGCUUGAGCUUCUGAGAGCAUUAAGGAUGACUACAAAGAUAUUAAGUUGUGUGAUCCCUGCUCAGACCCUAAACAUGAGCUUCCCUAAUCUGCAAGGGAAGGCAGAAAGAACUGGUUUUUGUGCUGCAGUUGAUUUCAUAUACAACCUGUUUGAAUCCAGCUUGUGUGCAGGAAAUUUUAGAGAUUUUGGACACAACAGUGCAUGAACUGCACACAAGUCACACGGACCAUCCCAUUCCUUUUAUCAAGCCACCUAGGUAGAUUAUUGAAUCCACCUCCUGGAAGGGAGGCAUAAACCUGCUGCCUGAGCUGUCUUAAGAGCUUGAUCAAGCAGUGAGGUGUGGAGCCAAAGAAGUAAACAAGAUAGUGAAGAGGUGAGCUUCUCUCCAGACCUCUGCUGACUAGGCCUUUCUCUCCUUGCCUUUCCACUUUCAAAAAUGAUGUAAAUACUGGACAGCCACUACAUGCUCAAAAAAACAGAGAACCUUUAUAAUGAGUAGCAGUUGAUACUGCUCCUCUUAAGACUGAAAUUGUGUGAAUAGGUAGGCUGAGAAAAUGAUAACUUCCACAAGGACAGAAACCUUCCUGGGACAUAUCUAGAGCUGAAUGCUGAAGGUGACCUGGAGAGACAUCUGACAUAAAGCACCUCAGCUUCUGCUGAGGAUGAAAACAUGCAGAGGGACAGAAGGCCCUGCAGAAGCUCUCAGUUAUGGUUGGACAUCCUUGCUAAUGGCUGGAAACUUGAAAGGAGAGAAGAUGGGACCAGGACCAGUUGACUAGUUGCUACCCUUCAUAUCCUCUUGUGGAGCCCCAUCUGAAAGCCCUCCUGCCUUUGUCAAGCUGUGGGUGCCCAGAGCUCAGCAGUUCAUGCUCCAUAAGAUAAACUGGAUGACGGUGAAAACAAGGACUGGGCUCAAUUCUCUUUCUCUCUGCUCCUUGUGGAGGGAAAUAGAAGACCUGUAAAAGUGUGAGGAACUAAUGUUGCCUUCUCCCACCUCACAUUUGUUCACUGGCUGCCUCAGGAAAAGAGGCUGCUACUACCGGAAGCGCAAAUGCAGUGGGAGAAUUGUGCAGUCAAACCUUGUGGUAAUGCAAGACCCUCACUGAAACCACAGAGAGCAGUCCACUUGCAUCUAAGGUCAGACUUGGCUCGUUAGUAAUAAUAUUGAAAAAAAAAAUUUAGUUGAAUAUCUUCAAAGCUAAAAACUAAAGCUAGACUCUUUCAGACUGGAGGGUUUGAAAUCUCCCACACAUCCCUGCAGGAAUUCACCAUUCUUAUCUUGGUGACAUAAGGGCUGAAGAGG